rnacentral:ncRNA from 1 species
CUGAGAUCAUUGGUCGCCAAUUUAACCGAUCUCCUGCGAAAAACGUAAAAUAUGGGUAAGAGAUCAAGCCCAUGUAAAACUGUGUGAAUUCAGGGGAAGACUAGAACAGUCAAUCCUGAGCCAAGCUAGAGUGAUCUAGAAAGGUGCAACGACUAUCGAAACCACGGCGGGAGCCGGAAGGGAGUAGAGUAGGGUCAAGUGACCCGAAGCGCACAGGGCGCGAGAGCGUCAUGAUAUAGUCUGGUCUGCAUGGGAACAUGCAG